UUAGGAAAUUUUCACAAUGGGGGAAACCCUGAUGGAGUAACGCCGCGUGCAGGAUGACGGCCUUCGGGUUGUAAACUGCUUUUCUGUGGGAAGAGUAGAAGACGGUACCACAGGAAGAAGCCUCGGCUAACUACGUGCCAGCAGCCGCGGUAAUACGUAGGAGGCGAGCGUUGUCCGGAAUUACUGGGCGUAAAGAGCGCGUAGGCGGCAUGGUACGACCUGUGUGAAAGCCCCCGGCUCAACUGGGGAGGUCAUGGGUAACGGCCGAGCUAUGAGUGCAGGAGAGGGACGUGGAACUCCGGGAGUAGCGGUGAAAUGCGUAGAGACCCGGAGGAACACCAGUGGCGAAGGCGGCGUCCUGGCCUGCGACUGACGCUGUGGCGCGAAAGC
rnacentral:rRNA from 1 species